CAAACCUGCAAUGCCUGCAAAUAUCCAGUUCUGAUAAGCAUUCUAUGUAUCCUCUGAUUUAAAGCUGACAUGAUGUAACUUAGUAAUUUUGGGAAAGAAAAUUCAAAGGAAUUCAUUUGGUUAACCAUAAGAUGCAAAAAGUGGGACGAGUUAUAGCAUUAUGCUGAAAAAUUAGGAGGCUCACAAGAAAAACCAACGAGAAUGCGAAGACAAAGUUAGACAGUAAGUUUAGCCUGAAGGAAAGCCACUCCAUUGCUGACACAUUAUGGAACCAGGGCCUAGAGUAGCCAUCAAUAAGGCUGAGAUUUGCAUUAGUGAAACGGCCUUCUUGGUCGAAAGCUCGGAUUGUUACUGCUCCCAUUAGUGAUUCUCCAAAAUGGUGGAGAAUUGGUGCUCUUCGAAUCCCGAUAAGGCGGGCGAGUUCUCUUGCAGUUGAUUGCUGUAACUGGAAUGAAGAUCGCGAACACUUGCCAUGCUACCUGUGACAUCACAGCGAUAGUACCCAAAAUCCGUAUUAUUGAAAAUGCGCACCAACCUAUUUUCCCUGCCAUUUCCAAGUCUAGCACACUUUGAUCUGUAGAAGCCUGCGAUUAAAAUAAUAAAGGAUAUCAGGUCAUAUGCAGUAAUAUGGAGUCAUUGAUCUCUAAGAGAUGGGCAUCUGACAUAUUAAGAGUGAUCUGCUUAAAUGGACCAUACGGGACUCCAUCUUUGCUGCGUCCCCAGGUUGCAUCCCGUGGAGCUUCAGUGAAACCAGAGUAGCCAGGGGCAGAGAAAUUCUCACCUCGGUACUCCGGAAUCCCAGCUCCAUUGAUUUGAGAGUUCUUUGUUUUAGAGCACAUUUAAUUUCCUAAAUUAAAUCCACUUGGUUCUAUUUUUAUUUAGAUCAUACAUGAAAAAGCUGUUCUUUUCCAUCUCUUAUGUCAAGUUUCCAGUAUUGUGGGUCUUGGGAAAUUCAGGACUUGGAGAUCAUUGUUUCUUGGCUACUUCUACUGCUCUUCUAAUGCGCUUGGAAUUCAAAUUUCUUUCCUAAUAAAAGGGCAUAAUAAUUUGGAGUUA